UCCGAAUACACAUCCGAAUACACAUCAGCGAACAUCCUUGCCUAAUCCUGGAAAUCGACCAGAACAUCGCUGUCGAUACUGAAGCCGUUGAAGGCUCGUUGUCCUCUUCAAGAUCUGGAUCAGUUGUUGAAUACAGAAGAGGACACUACAACUUCUACCUUUACCGCAAUGCGCCGGCGAAGAGUCAGUUUUGCAGGUGUUAAUCAAGUGAAAGAAUUUCACACUGCUGCUGAGUCUUUGACCGUCCACCAUACCCCAGCUUAUGAUGAGCCUUUUACAACCACUAUGUCUUCAGAUUCCUCAGGCCAUCAUCAUUUGACGGACUCCAAAAUCUCAGACAACACUUGCCUCGAGCAGACAUCUCGCCUCAGUUCAGGGCCUAUUGUCACAAGUGCUCUGGAUGCAGUCCUAGACCUAACUGUAAAAUCUACUAAUCUCAGCUUCAAACCGGAGGAGCUGGACCCAGAGGCAAAAGAAAACUUGACUGACAAUUUUCGCCCGCUGAGUCAAAAUACAUGCUAUGAAGCAGACAUGGAAUGCACAACGCCACAUCCUGUGGUUUAUUAUGAGUCCAAAAACUUCAGUUUUAACAAUAAAAGCCUGGAGUUUACCUCUGUUGCUUCAGAACUCCCACAUGUUCAACACUCCAAGUCAAUGAUGGAAUUCACGGAAGUUAUUCGUGGACCGGUGUUCAGCAAUGAAAACCUGUCUAGACAUUAUGAAUCCAUGGAAUUUACUCAGCAUGUCAAUGGUCAAUUAGCAGUCAAGGAUUCUGAGUUCUUUGAUGAGAAUGAAUACACGUUUUCUCAACCAAUGCCAAAAGCUGAUAUUUUCAACUUUCUUAGCAGUGGUACUUCUCUGUCAGCUGCUGAAGCUGUAGGGCAGGUGAACUCGAUUUUCGGCCAUCAGAAUAAUGUAGUAGACCUCAAUGAAUCUGCAGAUAUGAGUUUUGGUGUUACUGGAGUCAUUUCACAGCCUUUGAUUGAGUGCUUGAAGAGUAUCAAUGAUCAGAAGGAGUGAAGGAUGAUACUCAGAGUAACUGCAUGAGUGAGCCACCAAUUGUAAUCCUAGGACAGAGUGUA
rnacentral:lncRNA from 1 species